GACGAACGCUGGCGGCGUGCUUAACACAUGCAAGUCGAACGGAAAGGCCCUGCUUUUGUGGGGUGCUCGAGUGGCGAACGGGUGAGUAACACGUGAGUAACCUGCCCUUGACUUUGGGAUAACUUCAGGAAACUGGGGCUAAUACCGGAUAGGAGCUCCUGCUGCAUGGUGGGGGUUGGAAAGUUUCGGCGGUUGGGGAUGGACUCGCGGCUUAUCAGCUUGUUGGUGGGGUAGUGGCUUACCAAGGCUUUGACGGGUAGCCGGCCUGAGAGGGUGACCGGCCACAUUAGGACUGAGAUACGGCCCAGACUCCUACGGGAGGCAGCAGUGGGGAAUAUUGCACAAUGGGCGGAAGCCUGAUGCAACAACGCCGCGUGCGGGAUGACGGCCUUCGGGUUAUGAACCGCUUUCGCCUGUGACGAAGCGUGAGUGACGGUAAUGGGUAAAGAAGCACCGGCUAACUACGUG
rnacentral:rRNA from 1 species